rnacentral:rRNA from 1 species
UCAGGCCUAACACAUGCAAGUCGAACGGUGUAGCAAUACACAGUGGCGCACGGGUGCGUAACACGUAUGCAACCUACCUAUCAUUGGGGGAUAGCCUUUGGAAACGGAGAUUAAUACCGCAUAAGACAGUAACAUGGCAUCAUGUAGCUGUUAAAGCUUUGGCGAUGAUAGAUGGGCAUGCGUCCAAUUAGUUAGUUGGUGAGGUAACGGCUCACCAAGACGAUGAUUGGUAGGGGAUCUGAGAGGAUAAUCCCCCACACUGGCACUGAGAUACGGGCCAGACUCCUACGGGAGGCAGCAGUAGGGAAUAUUGGGCAAUGGACGGAAGUUAAGGGCAGCCAUGCCGCGUGCAGGAUGAAGGCGU